AUCACUGCUUGCCAUUGUGUAUUUUGUUAGUGCUAUGUGUUUUAAAAAGAAUUCAGUAUAAAUGUGGAUUAUAAAUAUCUAGUUAAAAGAAGCAUUAUAAAAUGUUGUUCAGACUAUUAUAAUAUUUGGCCUUAAUUUAAGUUGAACUCUUGUAAAAUUUUAUUUUUUUACUCUUACCAGUGGUCUUAGUAUAUUUGCCUUAUUGGC
rnacentral:lncRNA from 1 species